ACAAUGGCAGGUACAGAGGGAUGCUACCGGGCGACCGGAUGCGGAUCUCGAAAGCCUGUCCCAGUUCGGACUGGAGUCUGCAACCCGACUCCACGAAGUUGGAUUCGCUAGUAAUCGCGCAUCAGCCAUGGCGCGGUGAAUACGUUCCCGGGCCUUGUACACACCGCCCGUCAAGCCAUGGGAGCCGGGGGCGUCUGAAGUCCGGGACCGCGAGGACCGGCCUAGGGCGAAACUGGUAACUGGGGCUAAGUCGUAACAAGGUAAC
rnacentral:rRNA from 1 species